rnacentral:rRNA from 1 species
CACGUAGGAGGCAAACGUUAUCCGGAUUUACUGGGCGUAAAGCGCAUGUAGGUGGUUCUGUAAGUAGGGCGUGAAAGCUCCCGGCUCAACUGGGAGAGGCCGUUCUAAACUGCAGAGCUAGAGGAUGGUAGAGGGAGGUGGAAUUCCAGGUGUAGCGGUGGAAUGCGUAGAUAUAGGAAGGAACAUCAGUGGCGAAGGCGACCACCUGGACUGAUACUGACACUGAGGUGCGAAAGCGUGGGGAGCAAACAGGAUUAGAUACCCGU